AUGCGUAGAUAUAUGGAAGAACACCAGUGGCGAAGGCGGCUAACUAGCUUGAAACUGACGCUCAGUCUCGAAAGCGUGGGUAGCAAAUAGGAUUAGAUACCCUAGUAGUCCACGCUGUAAACGAUGAGUACUAGGUGUUGGGUUUCAUAAGAAACUCAGUGCCGAAGUUAACACAAUAAGUACUCCGCCUGGGGAGUACGUUCGCAAGAAUGAAACUUAAAGGAAUUGACGGGGGCCCGCACAAGCAGUGGAGCAUGUGGUUUAAUUCGACGCUACGCGAAGAACCUUACCAGGACUUGACAUCUGAUUAAAGGCUCUAGAGAUAGAGAGAUAGUUAUAGUCAAGACAGGUGGUGCAUGGUUGUCGUCAGCUCGUGUCGUGAGAUGUUGGGUUAAGUCCCGCAACGAGCGCAACCCUUGUCCUUAGUUGCCAGCAGUAAGAUGGGAACUCUAAGGAGACCGCCGGUAUAAGCCGGAGGAAGAUGGGGAUGACGUCAAAUCAUCAUGCCCUUUAUGUCCUGGGCUACACACGUGCUACAAUGGCCGGUACAAAGAGAAGCAAGACCGCGAGGUGGAGCAAAUCUCAUAAAGCCGGUCUCAGUUCGGAUUG
rnacentral:rRNA from 1 species